UUAAUAUUUUAUGUUUCUUAAAAAAAAAAUGUUUUUUUAAACAUAAUAAUUUUCAUUGAUUAAAUAUUUUUGCCGAAAAAUAUAUAUUUCCUUGAUAUAUUAAUAUAAAUAAAUAAAUGAUUAUAUUACAGACCUUGACAGCCUUAUUCACAAACAUCAAUAGAGAAUGAAGACAGAAAUCUGAAUGAAAAGUCAUUCAUUGUCGGAGAAAAAGAAUUUUUAGUUGUGCGAAAAAAUUAAAUCAAGUGGCUGUAAAACUACGAGUCGAGUAUUGAAUAAUAAAUAAAACCAGGGAUUUUAUUCAAUGUACUUUUCAUGCACCGAGUGUCGCUGGUUUGAGCAGAGAAAUACGUCCGCUGAGAAAUUGAAAGAAUUGUCUGCUGCUCUGGAUAUUUCUUGGCGUGGUGAGUGGCUUUUUGCAUGCAAUAUAUUUAUUUCUUUA